rnacentral:rRNA from 1 species
GAUGAACGCUGGCGGCGUGCCUAGCACAUGCAAGUCGAGCGGCAGCGAGGGGUGCUUGCACCCUGUCGGCGAGCGGCGGACGGCUGAGUAACGCGUGGGAACGUGCCCCAAAGUGAGGAAUAACUGCCCGAAAGGGUAGCUAAUACCGCAUAUUAUCUUCGGAUCAAAGGAUUUAUCCGCUUUGGGAGCGGCUCGCGUCGGAUUAGGUAGUUGGUGAGGUAAUGGCUCACCAAGCCGACGAUCCGUAGCUGGUCUGAGAGGAUGACCAGCCAGACUGGAACUGAGACACGGUCCAGACUCCUACGGGAGGCAGCAGUGAGGAAUCUUCCACAAUGGGCGAAAGCCUGAUGGAGCAACGCCGCGUGCAGGACGAAGGCCUUCGGGUUGUAAACUGCUUUUAUAAGUGAGGAAUAUGACGGUAACUUAUGAAUAAGGAUCGGCUAACUACGUG